UAGGCUGACCUCCCUGGGCUUUGUGACAGCGGUGACAGAGAGAGUAGUUCUCAAACCACUCCGAGUUGGGAUUCAGUUCUGCUGAGCCCGCCCCACAGGCCCGACAUACCCGGCACGCCUAAGGGAAGGGAGUGGGCAAAACAGGCAUUGGUUAGACAGCAAAGACUAAACGAAAGUACACAACUUGUCAAGACAGAGAAUGCUGUAGGAGACACAGUUAGGGACAAUAGGGCAGAAUCAGGGUACACUCACCUUGCACUUCCAAGAGUGAGCAGGCAGUUCCUCCAUGGGUGGUUUUAGGCAGAAAGUAUGGUAUCCUUUGUCACACGUCUCACAAACCAACAUCUUAGAGUCAUUCCCAGGUUUCCUGCAGGCUUGGCACACUUUGCAUUCAGGGCACUGCCAGCCAGCACGUUUGCGGGCAGUCAGAGCAGUGUCCAGGCAGGCCCCAUGAUAGUGAUGCCCACAGCUGGUACAGAAGAACAGGUCACACAACUCCCCUGGCCCCUCACACACUGCACAGCGAGCCUCCUCU
rnacentral:lncRNA from 1 species